rnacentral:misc_RNA from 1 species
GACACUCAAGCGUGAAGCUGCUGAUAAGGCAGCUGCAAAAAAGCACCAGUCGCAUUUACUGAGGCUGGGUCGUACAUGAGUUUACUCCAUGUCUAACCUUGAAGAUCAUGACAUAGUGAAUCACCUCUGUACAAUAUCUCUAGGUCCUUCCAUUUGUAGAGUAGUGCCCACCGUUUAGAUGAUGAGUUUGCUAGAUGGCAUGAACCAUUUUAAUGCCUGUUGAUAUCUCUUAUUUCCACCAUUAUAUGUACAUUGUUAGGUGAUUAUUUUCAUUUAAAUCUUCCAUUGUUGGAAUGAAG